GUAACUUUGGCAGAGGUGUGGCCUUUGUUUAUUUUCAAGUUUUUCCCUCUUUUUCAGUGCAGUUUCUAUCAGAACCCAGACAUGGCAUUUCACUAUCAAAAGUUUUCCUUUGAGGCUGUCAAAACAUUUGGUUUUGAGUUUGAAAAUGUAGACAUCUCAAUGCAGAGGGAAAAAAUAGUUUUUGUGAAGAGAUCAAAACCAAGGGAAGAAUGUGCUGAUAAAACAUUCUUAUUGAAGAGAAUUUAUUGUCAUCCAAAAAUUUGUACUCUUUAUUGAUGCAUUAUAGUUAUAGAGUCUGAAAUUGAACAAAUAAUAUAAAUGAGGGUAAACAAGGAAUAUAUGUUCUUCUGCCUGUGGGAAUGUUAAUUCAUAAUACAAAUAAAUAUGAUGUUUGAAAGGGGAUUAGAUAGUCCAUAAUUGCAUGUUCUUAAAGAGUUACAGGUAUAUUGUUAUCAUUACUAAUUUUGUAUUAGUAUAUAUGAAAGACGAAGUAGGAACAUAAUGUGAAGAACAGUAGCAAGUAACUGGCAAUUCUUGCUAGCUAUAAAAAAUUUCAAGAUGCAACAAUUUUCUGUUGUAUUGUUUCUAAAGGAAAAUUGUAAAAUUUGCACGGUGAGCUCCUGGGAUUUGCAGGUCUCUCUUAAAAACAAUAUUCUUUCCAUAUCUGAAUUUAGCAGCAUGACAUGUGUGAUGGGCCAUGAGCAAAUAAUGAAUACAUUAGUGAAAUUACUAGCAAUAUACUGUACACCUAAAAUACUUUUUGUAUUGGUCAAUAUCUGAGCUUGUGCUUACAUUAAACAUGGCAUAAAUGGAAGUGUCUUCUCCACAAAGUAAGUAAAUAAACAUGAUGCAAAUCUGUUUCUGCUUCACUGACAAUAAGGAAGAAGAAAGGAUUUCUUUGCUUUGGUAGAUUGACUGAUAGUGCUAAGUAAAAGAGAGAAAUAUAAGUGAAUUCUGGUGUCUGUGAGUUCUGUUCUUGGCAGGGGAAUAGACAUUUCCAGUAAAACUAGGUUCAUGAAAGUAGGAACAGCAGAGUCUACAGCCACUCCGGAAAUAUAAUGGAGCUCCAUAGGUAUCACUUCUUCACCCCUGUAGAAAUGGAGUCUCUGAGUCUAUGUUGCACAUUUUUCUUUCUUAUUUUAGGAUGACCGACCACCCAGAGUAUCCAUCUGAUGAUGAAUACUAACAUGGACACCAUUUCAUGAUUUCUACAAGGAUCCCCCACAUUGAUAAUCAUGCGGGAGACAGCUCAAUUGAUGCUGAUUGGAGAAAUCAUUUCUGUUAAUACAUAUUUCUUAGCUUCUCACUUUUUGCUAUAGCAAAAUUC
rnacentral:lncRNA from 1 species